GGUUGAAUUGCUGGGUCAUAUGGUAAAUUUAUGUUUAACUUUUGAAGAACCUGCCAAACUGCUUUCCAAAGUGAUUGCACCAUCUUACAUUCCCACCAGCAUU
rnacentral:pre_miRNA from 1 species